rfam:Ovis aries breed Texel chromosome 11, whole genome shotgun sequence.
UUCCAGGUGGCUCAGAUGGUAAAGAGUCUGCCUGCAAUGCAGGAGACCUGGGUUCGAUCCCAGGGUUGGGAA